AUUGUGGGGGAGAUGACCAAAAGGGACAGUUUUUCAAGAGCUCAUAAACAUAUGGAGUUUGAGGAUCACUUGCAACUAACAUGACUCAGCUCAGUGACCUGAGCCAAUUAACAAGGACACGCAUAUGAUCAAAGGAAACCACUGUUUGAAACGUGAAAAGUGUUGGU